rnacentral:rRNA from 1 species
GACGAACGCUGGCGGCGUGCCUAACACAUGCAAGUCGAACGGAAAGGCCCUGCUUUUGUGGGGUGCUCGAGUGGCGAACGGGUGAGUAACACGUGAGUAACCUGCCCUUGACUUUGGGAUAACUUCAGGAAACUGGGGCGAAUACCGGAUAGGAGCUCCUGCAGCAUGGGGGGGGUUGGAAAGUUUCGGCGGUUGGGGAUGGAAUCGCGGCUUAUCAGCUUGUUGGUGGGGUUGUGGCUGUCCAAGGCUUUGACGGGUAGCCGGCCCGGGCGGGUGACCGGCCUCAAUGGUCCUGCGGUACGGCGCAGUCGCGUACGGGCGGCAGAGGUGGGAAGUAUUACACAGUGAGCGGAAGUCUGUUACGGCGGCGUUGCGUGCGGAAUGCCGGCUUUCGGGUGGUAAACCGCUUUCGCCGGUGACGAAGCGGUAGUGACGGUACUGAGUAAAGAAGCCCCGGCUAACUACGUG